rnacentral:tRNA from 1 species
AAGGCCUUAAGUUAAUGCAAACUAAUAACCUUCAAAGCUAUAAAUAAGGGAAUCACCAAACCUUUAGGCCUUG